CAGCGGUGCCCCUUCAGGCUCAUCUGGCAAGACGGUACCAGCUUGCUCAGAACAGGGGCUGGCUAUUCAUCAUCUCAGAGCAUAGAGACCCUCUCCUUGCCACCCGGCCCUUCCCACCUGGUUGGUGACAAAUCACAAGUUUCCUGACUACUUGCCCUGUUCAGUGAUGUUGCAGCCAGCUCCACAAGAUUCAGGGAA
rnacentral:misc_RNA from 1 species